CAGUCGCCACGGUAAUACAGAGGAUGCAAGCGUUAUCCGGAAUGAUUGGGCGUAAAGCGUCUGUAGGUGGCUUUUCAAGUCCACCGUCAAAUCCCCGGGCUCAACCCUGGACAGGCAGUGGAAACUACCAAGCUGGAGUACGGUAGGGACAGAGGGAAUUUCCGGUGGAGCGGUGAAAUGCGUUGAGAUCGGAAAGAACACCAACGAUGAAAGCACUCUGCUGGGCCGACACUGAUACUGAGAGACGAAAGAUAGGGGAGCAAAUGGGAUUAGAUACCCCUGUAGUCCCUGUCUCUUAUAA
rnacentral:rRNA from 1 species